GUAUACAUACAUAUAUACACAUAUACAUACAUGUAUACAAACUUAUAUACUCAUAUGUGUAUAUAUGUCUACACACAUAUAUGCAUACAUAUAUAUGUGUAUAUACAUAUAUGUACAUGAAUGAUUCAUUGGGUCUGUUUGUGCAUGAACAAAGCAUAAUUCAGCAGAUUUCAUUCCCUACUACUUCCCCAUCCCCUCCCUUUUUCUUCCUCUAGAUUCCCUUCCUCUAUUCUAUUGGUCUCAUUUCUAUAUUUGUGAUAUCGUCCUUUUAUAUUUCUUUCUUUUUUCCUCUUUCACUAGCUUCAACAUAUGAGAGAAGUCAUUCAACUUUUGUGAAUCUGGUUUAUUUCACUUAGCAUCAUGUUCUCUAUUUCCAUUCAUUUACCUAGAAAUGAUAUAAUUUCAUUCUUCUUUGUGACUGAGUAAAACUUCUUUGUAUAUGCACACCACAUUUUCUUUACCCAUUUGUCUGUUGAUGAGUAGUAGGACAGUUCUAAAAUAUCAGUAUUAUAAAUUGCACUACUAUAAACAUUGGUGUGUAUUUAUCACUAUAAUAUGCAGAUUUUAUAUCUUUUGGCUAAAUGUCAAGGAGUGGGAUAACUGGGUCAUAUGGUAUAGAACCAUUAUUAAUAGAUUGUAGAGGUCACUGAUAAUGUGCACAAAGAAACCCCAAAACAUGAUAAACAAAAUGUUGUCUUGGUUCAAAGGAGACAAAUGGGAACAUUAUUCAUAUUGAACUUAAUUAAGUUUUUUAUGUAUUAUUUUCAGCUGGCAAAUAAUAAUUGUAUAUAUUCAUGGGCUAUGUGCAAAAUUUCUAGGCAUGCAUAUGUUGUGUAAUGAGCAAAUCAGGGAACUAACAUAUCCACCUCCUCCAGUAUUUAUCAUUUCAUUGUAAUGAGAACAUUUAGAAUCAUAUUAUUUUGCUAUUUUGAAAUACAGGGUAGAAUGUAUUAUUAUUAACUAGAGUCACCAUGCUAUACCAUAUAAAACCAGGAACUCAUCUGUUCUAUCUAAUUGAAACUUUGCAUCUGUUGACCAAAGCCUUUCCUUUUACUAUAAAUCCCUAUUCCCAGCUUCUGGUAACCACUACUCUAUUCUCUAGUUCAAUGGAUUUGGCUUUUCUGAAAUACUUCAAAAGUAGUUGAAAUUGUGAGCAUCAGUGCCCAGUGGAUUGUUGAUCAUUAUCAGGAAGCACAAAGGCAACAAGCAAUGGAUUUAUAGUGGCUGCCUUUAUACUUGCUUUAACACAAAAUACUUUGCAAAUCUAGGUUUAAUUUUUAUUUAUAUGUUUAUACUUACGGUGGGAUGAUGUUAUAAUUCACAUAUCGUAAUUGAAAUGCUAAUGUUUGGCUAUUUUUUAUUCACUGGCCAGUAAUUGUUAUUUUUAAUUAUACAUUUUUUUUUGUUUCCAUUUCUAUUUUGUUAUUUGGCAGUAAAUUAUUCUAAUAUCUCCAUCCUCUCUUUCUUGGCUUCCAAACAAAAUUUUCACUAAGAAUAAAUUUGUUAAUUUCAAAGAAUCAAAAAUGUGAUGGAAAUAAUGUGCAUUAAUUUGAUUCUAUAUAUAAUUCUU
rnacentral:lncRNA from 1 species